UGGCGGACGGGUGAGUAACGCGUGGGAAACCUGCCCUGUACCGGGGGAUAACACUUAGAAAUAGGUGCUAAUACCGCAUAAGCGCACAGGAGUGCAUGCUCCAGUGUGAAAAACUCCGGUGGUACAGGAUGGUCCCGCGUCUGAUUAGCCAGUUGGCAGGGUAACGGCCUACCAAAGCGACGAUCAGUAGCCGGCCUGAGAGGGUGGACGGCCACAUUGGGACUGAGACACGGCCCAAACUCCUACGGGAGGCAGCAG
rnacentral:rRNA from 1 species